CGGGGUGUAGCUCAGCUUGGUUAGAGCGCUUGCUUAGGGAGCAAGAGGUCCGCAGUUCAAAUCUGCGCACUCCGACCA
rnacentral:tRNA from 1 species